rnacentral:rRNA from 1 species
AUUGAACGCUGGCGGAAUGCUUUACACAUGCAAGUCGAACGGUAGGGGGGGCAACCCCUCGAGAGUGGCGAACGGGUGAGUAAUAUAUCGGAGCGUGCCCAGUCGUGGGGGAUAACGUAGCGAAAGUUACGCUAAUACCGCAUACGAUCUAAGGAUGAAAGCGGGGGAUCGCAAGACCUCGCGCGAUUGGAGCGGCCGAUAUCAGAUUAGGUAGUUGGUGGGGUAAAGGCUCACCAAGCCAACGAUCUGUAGCUGGUCUGAGAGGACGACCAGCCACACUGGAACUGAGACACGGUCCAGACUCCUACGGGAGGCAGCAGUGGGGAAUUUUGGACAAUGGACGCAAGUCUGAUCCAGCCAUUCCGCGUGCAGGAUGAAGGCCCUCGGGUUGUAAACUGCCUUUGUACGGAACGAAAAGGUCUCUCUUAAUACGGGGGACUCAUGACGGUACCGUAAGAAUAAGCACCGGCUAACUACGUGCCAGCAGCCGCCGUAAUAC